UCAGACGAUGCGUCAUGCAUAUCAAUAAGCGGAGGAAAAGAAACUAACAAGGAUUCCCCUAGUAACGGCGAGUGAAGCGGGAAGAGCUCAAAUUUGAAAUCUUAAAGGGUUUCCCUUUACGAAUUGUAGUUUAAAGAAGUGUUUUCUGUUGAGGUUUUGGUAAAAGUUCUUUGGAAUAGGACAUCAUAGAGGGUGAGAAUCCCGAAUUUGACCUUUACUUUCAACUUUGUGAUACACUUUCAAAGAGUCGGAUUGUUUGGGAAUGCAGUCCAAAAUGGGUGGUAAAUUUCAUCUAAAGCUAAAUAUUGGCGAGAGACCGAUAGCGAACAAGUACCGUGAGGGAAAGAUGAAAAGAACUUUGAAAAGAGAGUUAAACAGUACGUGAAAUUGUCAAAAGGGAAGCGUUUGACACCAGUGUUGUUUUUCUGAAAAUCAAUUAAAGAACUGUUUAUGCUAAGUUGUUUAGACUUUAUCAGCUAACUGUUUAGUUUUGAGCUUUUCUUUAAUGCACUUUUCAGUUAACAAGUCAACAUCAAUUUCUUUUGCUGUAAAAAAGCUUGAGGAAGGUGGCUUGAGAUUCGUCUUAAGUGUUUAUAGCCUCUUGCCUAUACAGUCGGAGAGAUUGAGGUCUGCAGCGUAGAUCCUUCGGGGCUAAAUGCAUUUGUGCUAAGUUAUAGCAUUUUAUAGACAACUUGUUGACUAUGAUUUGUCUUGUAGCUUACUCGCUUAUGUUAUUUUACCUACGCUUAGGAUGUUGACACACGCGCGUGCUCG
rnacentral:rRNA from 1 species